rnacentral:rRNA from 1 species
GGAAUCUUCCACAAUGGGCGCAAGUCUGAUGGAGCAACGGCCGGCGUGAGUGAAGAAGGUCUUCGGAUCGUAAAGCUCUGUUGUUGGUGAAGAAGGAUAGAGGCAGUAACUGGUCUUUAUUUGACGGUAAUCAACCAGAAAGUCACGGCUAACUACGUGCCAGCAGCCGCGGUAAUACGUAGGUGGCAAGCGUUGUCCGGAUUUAUUGGGCGUAAAGCGAGCGCAGGCGGAAUGAUAAGUCUGAUGUGAAAGCCCACGGCUCAACCGUGGAACUGCAUCGGAAACUGUCAUUCUUGAGUGCAGAAGAGGAGAGUGGAACUCCAUGUGUAGCGGUGGAAUGCGUAGAUAUAUGGAAGAACACCAGUGGCGAAGGCGGCUCUCUGGUCUGCAACUGACGCUGAGGCUCGAAAGCAUGGGGUAGCGAACAGGAUUAGAUACCCUGGUAGUCCAUGCCGUAAACGAUGAGCGCUAGGUGUUGGGGACUUUCCGGUGCCUCAGUGCC